rnacentral:tRNA from 1 species
GCCUUCGAGGUGUAACGAUGGCAUACUUGGCUCGUAUUCGAGAAAUCUAGGUUCAAGUCUCGGCGAGGGCA